rnacentral:rRNA from 1 species
GACGAACGCUGGCGGCGUGCCUAAUACAUGCAAGUUGAGCGAUGAAGAUUGGUGCUUGCACCAAUUUGAAGAGCAGCGAACGGGUGAGUAACGCGUGGGGAAUCUGCCUUUGAGCGGGGGACAACAUUUGGAAACGAAUGCUAAUACCGCAUAACAACUUUAAACAUAAGUUUUAAGUUUGAAAGAUGCAAUUGCAUCACUCAAAGAUGAUCCCGCGUUGUAUUAGCUAGUUGGUGAGGUAAAGGCGCACCAAGGCGAUGAUACAUAGCCGACCUGAGAGGGUGAUCGGCCACAUUGGGACUGAGACAGGGCCCAAACUCAUACGGGAGGCAGCAGUAGGGAAUCUUCGGCAAUGGACGAAAGUCUGACCGAGCAACGCCGCGUGAGUGAAGAAGGUUUUCGGAUCGUAAAACUCUGUUGGUAGAGAAGAACGUUGGUGAGAGUGGAAAGCUCAUCAAGUGACGGUAACUACCCAGAAAGGGACGGCUAACUACGUG